rnacentral:rRNA from 1 species
CGAACGCUGGCGGCGUGGAUUAGGCAUGCAAGUCGAACGGAGUGCUUAGCUUUUUCGAGUACUUAGUGGCGAAAGGGUGAGUAACACGUGGGUAACCUGCCCUUGGGCGCGGGAUAACCAAUCGAAAGAUUGGCUAAUACCGUAUACGUCCUGUGAUCUUCGGAUUACAGGGGAAAGAUGGGGAUUCGCAAGAACCUAUCGCCUUUGGAUGGGCCCGCGGCCUAUCAGCUAGUUGGUGAGGUAAUGGCUCACCAAGGCUAAGACGGGUAGCUGGUCUGAGAGGAUGGUCAGCCACACUGGGACUGAGACACUGCCCAGACACCUACGGGUGGCUGCAGUCGAGAAUCUUUCGCAAUGGGGGAAACCCUGACGAAGCGACGCCGCGUGCAGGAUGAAGGCCUUCGGGUUGUAAACUGCUGUCAGCUGGGAAGAAAGAGUUUUCAGUGAAUAAUUGAGAACUUUUGACGGUACCAGCAGAGGAAGCCACGGCUAACUCU